ensembl:lncRNA novel transcript
UGCCAAAUGCAAAAAUAAGGACCAGAACCAAACAGGGAGCCCCUGUAAGAAAUGUGCAGAAAGAAGGUAAAAGCCAGGGGAGGGGUGUCCCAGACCAGAAGGCAUGAAGGACUAGAGGGUGAAGAAAGGAAAAAUGUAGAGGGAGAGAGGGAGAAUUCCAAGGCCCUGGUGUCUUACACCUCUCUGGGUUUUGAAAUCAAUAAAUAGGUAUUGAGUAUCUAUAACUCUGAUUCUCAGGGGUACUUGUGUUCCUUGGGUGUAAGAUAGUAUGCCAGGGAUACAAAAGAUGGGAUACAAUUAGUCCGUUUUCCUGCUGCUCCAGUGUUAUAAGUAGAACUUGAGGAGUAUGAGGUUGGGGAAGAAGAGGAUCAUUUUAUAUCGAAACCAAUACCAAUAUAGAGUCGAUAAUAAAUUUCGUAUGAUUACAAAAA